rnacentral:lncRNA from 1 species
CACCAACAAAUGUGAUGCUGCAUAUCACAAAGGCUCACGGCUACUAGAGAGGACACAGCCUUCCCAAUAUGCCCUGGUUGGGAGUCCAGAGCCCAAGCAGAUCUUAACUCUGAGGCUGACUCACUGUGUAACUUUGGACAAACCACUUCCAUUGCUCAAAGGGGAGGCCAGAGAUGGCCAGGAAAAUACUGAGGAGACAUGAAGACACAGGACACACGGAAACUCAGUGGCCUGCAUUUUUUACCAUCCAGAUCUUCACCCAACCCCUGAGGCUCCUUUGCCAGCAGAACAGUUCCUGCUAUGCCAUGAUGGGACCUGUUCGUGAUCAGAAUUGGAACAUGGUUCCUCAUUCAAGCAGUUCAUGGGAAACCAGGAAAAGCCAAAAGAUAACUUAUGGAAAAAGGGUAAAGAAGCUACAAAGUCUAAGUUAA